CUGGCGGCGCACAUAAGACAUGCAAGUCGAACGGACUUAACUCAUUCUUUACGAUUGAGAGCGGUUAGUGGCGGACUGGUGAGUAACACGUAAGCAAUCUGCCUAUCAGAGGGGAAUAACAGUGAGAAAUCAUUGCUAAUACCGCAUAUGCUAACAGUAUCGCAUGAUACAGUUAGGAAAGGAGCAAUCCGCUGAUAGAUGAGCUUGCGCCUGAUUAGAUAGUUGGUGGGGUAACGGCCUACCAAGUCGACGAUCAGUAGCCGGACUGAGAGGUUGAACGGCCACAUUGGGACUGAGAUACGGCCCAGACUCCUACGGGAGGCAGCAGUCGGGAAUAUUGCGCAAUGGAGGAAACUCUGACGCAGUGACGCCGCGUAUAGGAAGAAGGUUUUCGGAUUGUAAACUAUUGUCGUUAGGGAAGAUACAAGACAGUACCUAAGGAGGAAGCCCCGGCUAACUAUGUG
rnacentral:rRNA from 1 species